GAAGAAAAUCACAGUGACUGUGAAAAGACAAGAUAAUGGUGGGAAUCAAAGACACAGAGCUGACGACUUGGAUUUCUGAGGACUGAGCACACCUUACAACACUUUCCUGUGGAAAAGAAAAUCAGGAGUCCACUGAAUGCUGUGCUGCAGAGCAGAUGUGGAGUGCCGUUGCAUGUGUGCAUCCAGUGAGUACCACAUAAAUGGAUCUUAUUGUCUUGCAGUUAUGCACAUGAGAAGAGUUUUGGCCAACAAGAAGUGAAAAGACAGAAAAUGCCACAAAAGAAA